ACCCAUACAUGACUGGUCUCUCUAUUGCUGGAGGAAUCUACUGCCUGGGCUUGGAGGGAGCUCUUAUUGGUCCGAUCGUACUUUGCUUCCUUGUUGCUGCAAUAAGUAUUUAUGGUAAACUACUCCAAGGAGGUUCAUCUCAACCAGAAGCUGGGACCACACGACCUUCAGGUUUGUCUGCAGUGACUGUUAAACGACCAGACCAAUUGCACGAUGGUGACAAGCGCACAACCUGGAGCAUUACACGGCACUCUCUCUGAUAGCUGUGGUUUGUCCAGAAUUGCUUCUUCCUCUAUAGGAAAUUCGCCUAAUAGUCCUGUAACGGGCAUUUUAGUGCCUUGGCCUCCUGAACUGCAACUACGUCGAUCUUUCAGUACAGACCCAGUGAUGGCCUACAAAUCUAACUAAAAUUCUACACUGCUGCUUUAUCUCUUUCUAACUGAAGCUUGUUAGAAAUAAUAGAUGUAUCUUCUUUGCUUACUCUUUUUUUCUACCUACAUGUUUUGCUUGCUUGUGAACUGAAGUAAUAAGGUUCUUUAAAAUGCCAUUGUUUGAUCAAUUUUGAAGCAGAAACGAAAACAGGAGAACAUCAAAAUAUUUUUCUUGAUCUUCUUUACCUAUGUACUGAAGAAGGAAAAAAUAAGUUUCUCCUUAGCUGGAAGUCUUCUAUUCACAUUACAGCUAGGUAAAGCAAAGAAAACAAUUGUAUUUGUCUGACCAAAAGAAUACGAUAUCAAAGCUUAACGUUUCUUCGAUGAAAUUUCUUUCUUGCUUUAUUUAUGAAUAUUUUGCUGUUUUACAAAAUUUUCCAUUACUUGUGCACACAUACACAUA
rnacentral:misc_RNA from 1 species